UACGUAGGGGCAAGCGUUGUCCGGAAUCAUUGGGCGUAAAGCGCGUGUAGGCGGCCCGAUAAGUCCGCUGUGAAAGUCCAGGGCUCAACCCUGGAAUGCCGGUGGAUACUGUCGGGCUCGAGUCCGGAAGAGGCGAGUGGAAUUCCUGGUGUAGCGGUGAAAUGCGCAGAUAUCAGGAGAACACCAACGGCGAAGGCAGCUCGCUGGGACGGUACUGACGCUGAGACGCGAAGCGUGGGAGCGAACAGG
rnacentral:rRNA from 1 species